CCGGAUUUGUAAUCACAUAAGCAACACGACGGGUGCCACAUGUGGAGCAGGAUCUGCUUACCCUUCCGGAGCACCUGAGAUCACCCCUAGUUUUUGGUGGGUUCGUGUUGUUUAUUCUUUAGUUUUCUAUGUUGUGUCGUGUGUACUAUUGUUUUUCUGUUUGUCUUUUUCAUUUUUAGCCAUGGAGUUGUCAGUUUGUUUUAGAUUUAUGAGUUUGACUGUCCCUUUGGUAUCUAUCGUCCCUCUUUUCAAAUUAAACUUAAGUUAUAUGCAUUUGUACGUAUGAAGGACAGUAACAGAUAUAUACAGUCGACUCUCGUUAUGUCGAAGUCAGCCGGACCAGAGAAAUAUUUCGAGAUACACGUAGUUCGACUCAAACGAACACCGGAAGUUCGACAAUCUAAGGGACACAAAUCUUGCUUAGCUUGGUAAAGCUAAAAUAAAUCCGGGUGAAUAUGACAAGGGGAUCGAUAUUCUAGUAUCAGAUCGAUGUAUUUGUAUGUCACAGUCUUUUAUUAUUAUAAUGACUGUUAUUUUACUUAUUCAAUUGUUUCAAUUAAAAAAAAAAAUCCUAUGGCUUUUCCAAGAGAGUAAUUUCCAAUCGACAGUUUCGUAAUUCAGGUCGCUAAUAGCUGACAAAAUUGUUUAUUCUCGGAUACAAGAGUUUAAGAAAAUUUGAUUUCUAUUCAUUUUGUUUUAUCUCACUCUUUGUUUUCAAAAGAACAUAUAAUAAGAUUAAAGACGCCGUUUGAGUAGUUUUUAGGUGAUCAUCAACGGAAGCCAUAAUCCACACUUUAUACACACCCAAGCUCAUUAGUGUAAAUCACAAAUUAAUUGUUUUGUAAACAAUUAAAAUACUUUUUCAUGAACAUUAACAAUUUAUCACUAAUUAUUUAUAAAAAUUCUACAAAAGAUAAUCUUAGGAAAACACUCAUGGAAAUAGCAUGUCAUAAAUCAAUACAGUGGUCAGUGACCGGAAAUUUAAUACACGUGUAUUGUCAGAUUAACUCUUCAAUCCAUUUAAAUCCCGGAGGUCAUGUUUUGACAUAUGUGUAUUAGUUCGAGAUAAAAAAUGAUUUUUGAAUGCUUUGUUAACCUUGGACCGUAAAUUUAGUUCGACUCAACCGAAAUUUCGACUCAUCCAAUUUCGACUCAUCAGGAGUCGAAUUACAUACUUUUGUAUGGAAUAAAGUUCGGGACCACGUGAAAACUUCGACUCAUCCGAAAUUUCGAGUCAACCGAGUUCGAGACAACGAGAGUUAACUGUAGUUUGACUAUCCCUUUGGUAUCUUUCGUCCCUCUUUUAUAUAUAU
rnacentral:lncRNA from 1 species